rnacentral:rRNA from 1 species
UACAGAGACUGCAAGCGUUAUUCGGAUUCACUGGGCGUAAAGGGUGCGCAGGCGGCCAAGUGUGUGAGGCGUGAAAGCCCGGGGCUUAACCCCGGAAUUGCACCUCAAACUACAUGGCUAGAGCAUUGGAGAGGGUAGCGGAAUUCACGGUGUAGCAGUGAAAUGCGUAGAUAUCGUGAGGAACACCAGAGGCGAAGGCGGCUACCUGGACAAUUGCUGACGCUCAGGCACGAAAGCCGUGGGGAGCAAAAGGG